GCAGCCAAUCGGAGAGGCGGCGGGGCGGGCGGCGGCGGUGGUUAAAGCGAAUUGCCUUCUGUUGGGCGGGACGAGCUGGAAGCCAAGCGACGCGACCUCUGGGGGACCGGGCGAGGGACACCAGGAUUUGCCCAACGCAAGGGGGUCAAGGGCGGGGUGUGGUGCGGAGGACGCGAUUGGGUCUACGGCAGCGGAGGCGGGACGAGCAGAGAGCCAAUGACGAGUUGCGAUCAGGACUUUUUCGUUGGUUUGUUUUGAGGUGGGAGCUCAGAGGGGCGCGAGGAGGGCAGGAAUCCCACCCGGCAGCUUUCUGGGGUUGUGAAGUUGGGCUGGUCUGCUGCUUGUGUUUUUCUUCCGGGAAAGGUCACCGUUGUUGGCUUUUGGGCGGGAUGGAGGGGGGGGGAGUCCGCAAGAAACUUCAGCAGCCCAGUCUUGUUCAUCUUUACUUGCAAGUAAACCCUGUUCAACCAGUAGAGCUUACUCUUGGGAUUAUAGUAUUGGCUCCAGGGCUUUUAAUAGCUUAGAAGCUAUAGUAUUUACUGCUGCACUACUUUGGCAGGAAAUGCUCCACCUGCUGAAAAUUUCUCUUCUAUACAUUUAUUAAUAAGAACCUGAGGACAGCACCCUCUGCCAUUAGCUAAGGACAAGGGCACUGGGAGGCCACUCCCCUUGCCUUCUAGCGACAUCAUCACAGCAAGAUGGAGACCAACAUAGCCCUAUCAGUGGGCCAAAGGAGGACUUGUCAUAAAGAACACUCCCAACUGCUGGUUGCCCUGCAGAAGCAAGAAGAAGGGCCUCUCUGGUCCCAUCCAUCAGCCAAAGGAGCAAGAGGCAUCAGUUGCUAGUCACAGGGUUUUUUAAAAGCUGAUUUUCCAACUGCACAAAUUCCCCAUCAGUCCACUCCCUUCACUAUAUUUUCCUACCUUUCUCUGGAGGCCUAGAAUCAUAAAACUGUAGAGUUGGAAAGGACCCCGAGGGUUGAAUCUCAACUAAAGCAAUGGCAGAUGGCCAUCCAACCUCUGCUGUAAAACCUGCAGUGAAGGACAGUCUGCUUCAUAAUUCAACAACUGUGAAAUCAGGAUAGUCUCUUGGAUUUCUUGUUCUUAAAAUGUUGAUAUUGAAGAAAACAUUGAAUGUUUGUCUUUUUUGCCUCAAGUUCUUUAAGAUAUUUGGGGACAUAGGAAGCUGCCUUAUGCAGAGGCAGCUCAUUGGUCCAUCUACCUCUGGAUUGUCUACAGUGACUGGAAGCAACUUCCCAGCAUAUCAGGCAGGAGUCAUUCCCCAGCCCUACCUAGAGAAUCCUGGGAUUGAACUUGGGACCUUCUGCAUGCAAAGCAGAUCCUCUAACAAUAAGCUGCAGCCCCUUUUGAUUUAUCGAUUUUAAGAAAAUUUUAAAAAGUGCAUUUAUUUUUGUGUGUCAACAAACUUAGUAACAAAUUAAACAGCAUAAAAAGUUAAUAAAAUGUUGGUCUACAUUUUUGCUACUGUA